CCCUGCCCCAAUGCAGUCCAUCCCCCACUCCGUCACUCACUUUCCCCCAACCUCACUCACUUUCACCAGGCUGGGGCGGGGGGUGGGGGUGGGGGAUAGUGUGACCAGAUGUCCUGAUUUUAUAGGAACAGUCCCAAUUUUUAGGUGUUUUUCUUAUAUAGGCUCCUAUUACCCCCCAACCCAUCCUGAUUUUUCACACUUGCUGUCUGGUCGUCCUAGGUGGGGAAUGGGAGGGGGUGAAAACUCCAGCUGGGGGUGUGGGUUCCAGGGUGAGGCCAGAAAUGAGGGGUUCAGGGUGGGAAGGGGGCUUCAGGCUGGGGCAGGAAGUUGGGAUAUGGGAGGGGUGAGGGCUCUGGCUGGGGGUGUGGGAUCUCAGGUGGGGCUGGGUAUGAGGGGUUUGGGGUGCAGGAGGGGGCUCAUGGUUGAGGCAGGGGAUUGGGGUGUGGGAGGGGGUGGGAGGUGUGUGUCCUGGGAGGGAGUUUGGGUGCGGGACGAUGCCCAGGGCUGGAGCAGUGGGUUGGCGUGUGGCAGGGGGUGUGGGCUUUGGCUCCCGGAAGCAUUCAGCAGUCCGGCUCCUUGGCUCGGGGUGGCCAAGUGGCUCUGUGUGCUGCCCCUGCUUGCUCCCACAGCUCCCAUUGACUGCAAUUCCCAGAGUCGGCGUUUGGGGUGGGGCGUGGGGACAGCGUGUGGAGACGCCCUGUCCGCCCCUGCACGUAGGAGUGAGACAUGUCGGCCACUUCCAGGAGCCACACAGAGCCAAGGCAGGUAGGGAGCCUGCCUUAGCCCCGCUGCGCCGCCAACCGGACUUUGGCCUAUUAAAAUCUCCCAGAUUGCCUAGAAUAGUCAUCGGGAGAUUGAGGCCGAUUCCAGGAGACUCCUGGCCAAUCUGGGAGAGUUAGCAACCUUACCCUGGGGUCUAGUAGUCUCAUGAUAGACCCUGCCCCUAACCCAGCCCAGCCUUCCUUCACAGGGUUAGCGCUACAGGGCCACUCCCUCGCCCGGUCAGCCCAGGCUGAACUGGGCUUUUCUUCUUUGAACUGGUCCCGCUCAGGGCCGGCUCCAGGCCCCAGCGCGCCAAGUGCGUG
rnacentral:lncRNA from 1 species